rnacentral:lncRNA from 1 species
CAUCAGUAGUUGACACCGGAAGACGGAGCCCAAGAGCGAAUCAGGAGAACGUGAGCGAGCGCGCGGCAGCUAUUGACCGUUUUAAUGUUUACUUUCCAGUCUUUGUGGGUGGUUCAUUUUUGUCCGUGGGGGGACAGAGACCGCCUCACAGGUCUCUGGUAUCUCGACGGCCCAUCUGUCAUCAGCGGUCAGCCCAGUUCCACGCUGCGCGCCGGGAACAUCAGGCGUGGGCCGGCCGGCCUGCCAGCUGGCUUCUUGACUUGGACUCCUCCAUUUAUCUCAAGGCAAGUGCGUGGAUCUGAGUUUCCGACAAUCUGGUGUCUUGGCUUUCCAUUCUGCAGGAAUGCUGAAUAUCCGUUUGUGGGGGAAGCUGAAAGAUUAAUGGAUUCUGUGGGCAGCUAAAUGAUGCAACUGUGUGAAAAUCUGGCCUGACUGCACCGUUUUCUUUCAUGCCAAGACUCCAGAAAUAUGUGUCUAAAAUGUCAGCUGAAAUAAAGUCACCAGCAUGUUAUGCAUUAGGAUUUCUUGUCACUUUUAGCUGCAUGCAGCAAUUUUUACAUCCCCCAAAAAAUGGCAAAGAAAAAAGUGAAAGCAAUGAAGGUUCAUCAAACGUGACGCAUUUGGAGCAAUAAAAGAAAUAUUUCAGAAAUAUUAAUGAUUUCAAUCUGUGGGCGCUGUCAAACUUACAAC